rnacentral:rRNA from 1 species
UACGUAGGGUGCGAGCGUUGUCCGGAAUUAUUGGGCGUAAAGAGCUCGUAGGCGGUGUGUUACGUCGGCCGUGAAAACCUGCAGCUUAACUGUGGGCGUGCGGUCGAUACGGGCAUCACUGGAGUUCGGCAGGGGAGACUGGAAUUCCUGGUGUAGCGGUGAAAUGCGCAGAUAUCGGGAGGAACACCAGUGGCGAAGGCGGCACUCUGGGCCGGUACUGGCGCUGAGGAGCGAAAGCGUGGGGAGCGAACAGG